UACGAAGGGGGCGAGCGGUGAUCGGAAUUACUGGGCGUAAAGCGCACGUAGGCGGACUUUUAAGUCGGGUGUGAAAUCCUGGAGCUCAACUCCAGAACUGCCUUCGAAACUGAAAGCCUUGAGUUCGGGAGAGGUGAGUGGCUCUCCGAGUGUAGAGGUGAAAUUCGUAGAUAUUCGCAAGAACACCAGUGGCGAAGGCGGCUCACUGGCCCGAUACUGACGCUGAGGUGCGAAAGCGUGGGGAGCAAACAGG
rnacentral:rRNA from 1 species